rnacentral:rRNA from 1 species
GAUGACGGCCUUCGGGUUGUAAAACUCUGUCUUCUGUGAAGAGCAAGCCUGUGAGUGGAAAGCUCAGGCCCUGACGGUAACAGAGGAGGAAGCCCCGGCUAACUACGUGCUAGCAGCCGCGGUAAUACGUAGGGGGCAAGCGUUGUCCGGAAUCACUGGGCGUAAAGCGCGCGCAGGCGGCCAUCUGCGUCCGGGGUGAAAGCCCAGAGCUCAACUCUGGGAUUGCCUUGGAUACGGGGUGGCUUGAGGAUCGGAGAGGCAAGGGGAAUUCCACGUGUAGCGGUGAAAUGCGUAGAGAUGUGGAGGAACACCUGUGGCGAAGGCGCCUUGCUGGCCGAUUUCUGACGCUGAGGCGCGAAAGCGUGGGGAGCAAACAGGAUUAGAUACCCUGGUAGUCCACGCCGUAAACGAUGAGUGCUAGGUGUUGGGGGGUACCACCCUCAGUGCCGAAGCUAACGCAUUAAGCACUCCGCCUGGGGAGUACGGUCGCAAGACUG